AUUGAACGCUGGCGGCAUGCUUUACACAUGCAAGUCGAACGGUAACAGGCCGCAAGGUGCUGACGAGCGGCGAACGGGUGAGUAAUGCGUCGGAACGUGCCCAGUCGUGGGGGAUAACGCAGCGAAAGCUGCGCUAAUACCGCAUACGAUCUAUGGAUGAAAGCGGGGGACCGUAAGGCCUCGCGCGAUUGGAGCGGCCGAUGUCAGAUUAGGUAGUUGGUGGGGUAAAGGCUGACCAAGCCAACGAUCUGUAGCUGGUCUGAGAGGCCGACCAGCCACACUGGGACUGAGACACGGCCCAGAGUCCUACGGGAGGCAGCAGUGGGGAACUUUGGACAAUGGGCGCAAGCCUGAUCCAGCAAUGCCGCGUGCAGGAAGAAGGCCUUCGGGUUGUAACCUGCUUUUGUACGGAACGAAACGGUCCUGGUUAAUACCUGGGGCUAAUGACGGUACCGUAAGAAUAAGCACCGGCUAACUACGUGCCAGCAGCCGCGGUAAGAC
rnacentral:rRNA from 1 species